rnacentral:misc_RNA from 1 species
UGGAAGUAAAAGUCGUAACAAGGUUUCCGUAGGUGAACCUGCGGAAGGAUCAUUACAGUAUUCUUUUUGCCAGCGCUUAAUUGCGCGGCGAAAAAACCUUACACACAGUGUUUUUUGUUAUUACAAGAACUUUUGCUUUGGUCUGGACUAGAAAUAGUUUGGGCCAGAGGUUUACUGAACUAAACUUCAAUAUUUAUAUUGAAUUGUUAUUUAUUUAAUUGUCAAUUUGUUGAUUAAAUUCAAAAAAUCUUCAAAACUUUCAACAACGGAUCUCUUGGUUCUCGCAUCGAUGAAGAACGCAGCGAAAUGCGAUAAGUAAUAUGAAUUGCAGAUUUUCGUGAAUCAUCGAAUCUUUGAACGCACAUUGCGCCCUCUGGUAUUCCAGAGGGCAUGCCUGUUUGAGCGUCAUUUCUCUCUCAAACCUUCGGGUUUGGUAUUGAGUGAUACUCUUAGUCGAACUAGGCGUUUGCUUGAAAUGUAUUGGCAUGAGUGGUACUGGAUAGUGCUAUAUGACUUUCAAUGUAUUAGGUUUAUCCAACUCGUUGAAUAGUUUAAUGGUAUAUUUCUCGGUAUUCUAGGCUCGGCCUUACAAUAUAACAAACAAGUUUGACCUCAAAUCAGGUAGGAUUACCCGCUGAACUUAAGCAUAUCAAUAAGCGGAGGA